rnacentral:rRNA from 1 species
CCUACGGUGGGGCUGCAGUGGGGAAUAUUGGACAAUGGGCGAAAGCCUGAUCCAGCCAUGCCGCGUGUGUGAAGAAGGCCUUCGGGUUGUAAAGCACUUUCAGUGGGGAAGAAAGCCUUGGGGCUAAUACCCUCGAGGAAGGACAUCACCCACAGAAGAAGCACCGGCUAACUCCGUGCCAGCAGCCGCGGUAAUACGGAGGGUGCGAGCGUUAAUCGGAAUUACUGGGCGUAAAGCGCGCGUAGGCGGUCUGAUAAGCCGGUUGUGAAAGCCCCGGGCUCAACCUGGGAACGGCAUCCGGAACUGUCAGGCUAGAGUGCAGGAGAGGAAGGUAGAAUUCCCGGUGUAGCGGUGAAAUGCGUAGAGAUCGGGAGGAAUACCAGUGGCGAAGGCGGCCUUCUGGACUGACACUGACGCUGAGGUGCGAAAGCGUGGGUAGCAAACAGGAUUAGAUACCCGAGUAGUC